ACGCCCAUAAUAUUUACCCGCUGAAAAUGGAAGACUCGCCUUCGAUAGAAACUGUGUAUGAAGCUAUUUACGCGCUCUACAACCAAACACCAUCCCCGCCGAAAAGCAGCGAGCUUCGAACUGGCUUAACGAAAUGCAGAAAUCGGUAUACGCUUGGAAAAUUGCUGACGAACUGUUGGCCAGGAAAGUGGACCUGAACUCGUGUUAUUUAGCGGCACAAACUAUGCGCUCUAAAUUACAAAAUUCCUUUCAUGAACUACCUCAAGAUUCACAUGCAUCAUUACGAGAUGCCCUAUUGAAUCAUUUGUCUAAAUUAGAUGAUACCACUGACGGUGUAAUUGCUACACAGUUGUGUGUUGCAUUGGCACACUUAGCUCUUCAAAUGGGUUCGUGGAAAAACGCUGCUGUAGAUAUUGCUUCACGAUAUAAUUCACUGAAAACAUGUUUCAUAUUAGAGUUGUUAACUGUGUUACCUGAAGAAGUCAAUUCUCGAACAUUGCGUUUGGGUGCUAAUCGUAGAUCUGAAAUUUAUGCUGAAUUUAGUGAUAACUUGCCAGCUGUUAAUCAACUAUUAGAGCUGUGCUUGACAUCUGAAGCAAAUAAUAAUCGCAUCAAAAUUCGAUCUUACAAGUGUUUUGCAUCAUGGUUGAACAUCAGAAGUGUGGCAUAGCAAUGUGCUAUCAAAUGUGUUUAAUGUGUUGUGUAGUUUUGAUGGAUGUAAUAUGAUUCAAGAAGCAGCUGCAGAUGCAGUGAUUGCAUUCCUUCAGAAUCUAGAAGAUAAUAACAAUCAAGAUGAAAUACAGAUAGAAAUUAUAAAUUCAGUUAGUAGAUUAGAGCAGGCUUACAUGAUGUCAGUUACUAGUGAAGACUUGGAUCGAACUGUUAAUUACUGUAGAAUAUUCACUGAGUUAGCAGAAUCUCUAGUAAUGACUAUGGUAAACAAAAGCUUAGGAUCUAAUGGUCUUCCACAUUUCUCUAUUAAAGCAUUAGAAUUGGUUAUUUUAUGUGCAAACCAUCAUGAUUAUGAGUAUGCAGAGUAAGGACCAAUCGUGUGUCAUACAAAUUGAAGACGAUUAUACCACACACCAAAUAAUGAACAAAAUGUUUGAAAAUCUAAUGACUUAUGGAAUCCUGCAGAUGAUUACAUUGUCUUUCAUAGUAAUAAUAUACAUGCUUAUUAGCAUCAUUCAGAAUCAAUUAACGCCGAUAAAGUUCUACCUAUUUACCUGACAAAAUUUGGCUCCAUAUUUUGGUGGGGGCGAAUCACAAGUCCUGUAUCUAUUCCUAGUUCCUCCAUAACACGUAGUCGAACACGGCGACCAUUCACUCCAUUUACUCCAUUGUCCGGAAUCGUCUUCUACCAUACCAGUGAUUGGUGAUGUCGGCACACACUUGGUCUUGAUGUUUGUAUAUGCCCUGUUUAUAGCUUGAUUAACAUAGACAAAACAAUAUUCAAUAUAUUUUUCCGAGAACAAUUCGCAAUCGAAGUACACACUAUGGCGCCC